rnacentral:piRNA from 1 species
UCCAGUUCCUACGUAGAGGAGAUCUUGGA